UACGGAGGGUGCAAACGUUGCUCGGAAUCAUUGGGCGUAAAGCGUGUGUAGGCGGCCUGUUAAGUCGGGUGUGAAAGCCCUGGGCUCAACCCAGGAAGUGCAUUCGAAACUGGCAGGCUUGAGUACGGGAGAGGGUCGCGGAAUUCCCGGUGUAGAGGUGAAAUUCGUAGAUAUCGGGAGGAACACCAGUGGCGAAGGCGGCGACCUGGACCGGCAUUGACGCUGAGGCGCGAAAGCUAGGGGAGCAAACGGG
rnacentral:rRNA from 1 species